AUUAGCAUGCGAGUCGUACGAGAACCCGCAAGGGGGAAAGUGGCGAACGGGGUAGUAAUGCGUAGGUGACGUGCCCUGCGGUCGGGGAUAGCUUAGGGAAACUUAAGGUAAUACCCGAUGACCCCACGAGGUUUGAAUACCUUGUGGGCAAAGGUGUGAUUCCACCACAGGAGCGGCUUGCGUGGUAUUAGCUAGUUGGUGAGGUAACGGCUCACCAAGGCUUCGAUGCCUAGGGGAUGUUAGCGCAUGAUCCCCACCACUGGGACUGAGAUACUGCCCAGACACCUACGGGUGGCUGCAGUCGAGAAUCUUCGGCAAUGGGCGAAAGCCUGACCGAGCGACGCCGCGUGUGGGAUGAAGGCCCUUGGGUUGUAAACCACUGUCAGAGGGGAUGAAAUGCCGGAGGGUUCUCCCUCCGGUUUGACAUAGCCUCAGAGGAAGCACGGGCUAAGUUCGUGCCAGCAGCCGCGGUAAGACGAACUGUGCAAACGUUAUUCGGAAUCACUGGGCUUGAAGAGUGCGUAGGCGGUUUCGUAAGUAGGGUGUGAAAGCCCCCGGCUCAACCGGGGAAUUGCGUCCUAAACUGCGAGGCUGGAGUGAGGUAGGGGUGUGUGGAACUUCCAGUGGAGCGGUGAAAUGUGUUGAUAUUGGAAGGAACGCCGGUGGCGAAAGCGACACACUGGGCCUUGUCUGACGCUGAGGCACG
rnacentral:rRNA from 1 species